rnacentral:sRNA from 2 species
CCCUUGAUAUCCCUUCCUGGCAGGAGUGGGGGACCCAUCUCCCGGUCGUUCCGACGUCCUUGGGGUGAAGGCCUCGCGAUGAGCAGACGCGCUCGCAGCGGGGGCCGGGCAGCACCUCCGCCCGAACCCGACAGCUAACUCCGCAGGCGGCCCCCCUCGAGGUACA